GAGUUUGCUCAUGGCUCAGAACGUACGCUGGCGGCACGCCUAACACAUGCAAGUCGAACGCAGUAGCAAUACUGAGUGGCAAACGGGUGAGUAUAAUGUGGGAAUCUGCCUUUUGGUUUGGAAUAACACGGGGAAACUUGUGCUAAUACCGAAUAAGCCCUUACGGGGAAAGUUUUAAUGCCGAAAGAUGAGCCCGCACUUGAUUAGCUAGUUGGUAAGGUAAAAGCUUACCAAGGCAACGAUCAAUAGCUGUUCUUAGAGGAAGACCAGCCACAUUGGGACUGAGACACGGCCCAGACUCCUACGGGAGGCAGCAGUGGGGAAUCUUGCACAAUGGGGGAAACCCUGAUGCAGCGAUGCCGCGUGAGUGAAGAAGGCCUUUGGGUUGUAAAACUCUUUCGUCGGGGAAGAAAAUGACUGUACCCGAAUAAGAAGGUCCGGCUAACUUCGUGCCAGCAGCCGCGGUAAUACGAAGGGACCUAGCGUAGUUCGGAAUUACUGGGCUUAAAGAGUUCGUAGGUGGUUGAAAAAGUUGGUGGUGAAAUCCCAGAGCUUAACUCUGGAACUGCCAUCAAAACUUUUCAGCUAGAGUAUGAUAGAGGAAAGCAGAAUUUCUAGUGUAGAGGUGAAAUUCGUAGAUAUUAGAAAGAAUACCAAUUGCGAAGGCAGCUUUCUGGAUCAUUACUGACACUGAGGAACGAAAGCAUGGGUAGCGAAGAGGAUUAGAUACCCUCGUAGUCCAUGCCGUAAACGAUGUGUGUUAGACGUUGGAAAUUUAUUUUCAGUGUCGCAGGGAAACCGAUAAACACACCGCCUGGGGAGUACGACCGCAAGGUUAAAACUCAAAUGAAUUGACGGGGACCCGCACAAGUAGUGGAGCAUGUGGUUUAAUUCGAAGAUACGCGCAGAACCUUACCAACACUUGACAUGUUCGUCGCGACUCUAAGAGAUUAGAGUUUUCGGUUCGGCCGGACGAAACACAGGUGCUGCAUGGCUGUCGUCAGCUCGUGUCGUGAGAUGUUGGGUUAAGUCCCGCAACGAGCGCAACCCUCACUUUUAGUUGCCAUCAUUAAGUUGGGCACUCUGAAAGAACUGCCAGUGAUAAGCUGGAGGAAGGUGGGGAUGACGUCAAGUCCUCAUGGCCCUUACGUGUUGGGCUACACACGUGCUACAAUGGCAUCUACAACAGGAAGCAAAACGGCAACGUUGAGCAAAUCCCGAAAAGAUGCCUCAGUUCGGAUUGCACUCUGCAACUCGAGUGCAUGAAGCUGGAAUUACUAGUAAUCGUGGAUCAGCGUGCCACGGUGAAUGCGUUCCCGGGUCUUGUACACACCGCCCGUCACACCAUGGGAGUUGGUUCUACCUUAAGGCAAGGCUUUAAACCCUUGACCACGGUAUAGUCAGCGACUGGGGUGAAGUCGUAACAAGGUAACC
rnacentral:rRNA from 1 species